GACAGAGGGUGCUAGCGUUGUUCGGAAUUACUGGGCGUAAAGGGCGCGUAGGCGGUCUGUUAAGUUCGGUGUGAAAUCCCCUGGCUCAACUGGGGAACUGCGCUGGAAACUGGCAGACUCGAGUACCGGAGAGGAGAGUGGAAUUCCCGGUGUAGUGGUGGAAUGCGUAGAUAUCGGGAGGAACACCAGUGGCGAAAGCGGCUCUCUGGGGGCGAUCUGACGCUGAGGCGCGAAAGCGUGGGGAGCAAACCGG
rnacentral:rRNA from 1 species